rnacentral:rRNA from 1 species
UACGGAGGGAGCUAGCGUUGUUCGGAAUUACUGGGCGUAAAGCGCACGUAGGCGGCUCAGCAAGUCAGGGGUGAAAUCCCGGGGCUCAACCCCGGAACUGCCCUUGAAACUGCUAAGCUAGAAUCUUGGAGAGGCGAGUGGAAUUCCGAGUGUAGAGGUGAAAUUCGUAGAUAUUCGGAAGAACACCAGUGGCGAAGGCGACUCGCUGGACAAGUAUUGACGCUGAGGCACGAAGGCCAGGGGAGCAAACGGG